AGAGUUUGAUCCUGGCUCAGGAUGAACGCUAGCGGCAGGCUUAAUACAUGCAAGGCGAGGGGGCAGCAAUGUCACCGUCGUACGGGUGCGUAACGCGUAUGCAACCUACCUAUCGACUGGGGGAUAGCCCGGGGAAACCCGGAUUAAUGCCGCAUAACACAGGGGUCCCGCAUGGGUACUAUUUGUUAAAGAUUUAUCGGUGGUAGAUGGGCAUGCGUUCGAUUAGCUAGUUGGUGUGGGUAACGGCCCACCAAGGCGACGAUCGAUAGGGGAGCUGAGAGGUUGAUCCCCCACACGGGCACUGAGAUACGGGCCCGACUCCUACGGGAGGCAGCAGUAGGGAAUAUUGGGCAAUGGACGCAAGUCUGACCCAGCCAUGCCGCGUGCCGGAUGAAGGCCCUCAGGGUUGUAAACGGCUUUUAUUCGGGAAGAAGAGCGGGGAUGCGUCCCUGUGUGACGGUACCGAAUGAAUAAGCACCGGCUAACUCCGUG
rnacentral:rRNA from 1 species